rnacentral:rRNA from 1 species
AUUGAACGCUGGCGGCAUGCCUUACACAUGCAAGUCGAACGGCAGCACGGGAGCAAUCCUGGUGGCGAGUGGCGAACGGGUGAGUAAUAUAUCGGAACAUGCCCAGUCGUGGGGGAUAACGUAGCGAAAGCUACGCUAAUACCGCAUACGAUCUAUGGAUGAAAGCGGGGGAUCGCAAGACCUCGCGCGAUUGGAGCGGCCGAUAUCAGAUUAGGUUGUUGGUGGGGUAAAGCCCACCAAGCCGACGAUCUGUAGCUGGUCUGAGAGGACGACCAGCCACACUGGGACUGAGACACGGCCCAGACUCCUACGGGAGGCAGCAGUGGGGAAUUUUGGACAAUGGGCGCAAGCCUGAUCCAG